rnacentral:misc_RNA from 1 species
GAUGAAGAACGUAGCGAAAUGCGAUAAGUAGUGUGAAUUGCAGAAUUCAGUGAAUCAUCGAAUCUUUGAACGCACAUUGCGCCCCUUGGUAUUCCAUGGGGCAUGCCUGUUCGAGCGUCAUUUGUACCUUCAAGCUCUGCUUGGUGUUGGGUGUUUGUCUCGCCUCUGCGUGUAGACUCGCCUCAAAACAAUUGGCAGCCGGCGUAUUGAUUUCGGAGCGCAGUACAUUUUGCGCCUCUAGUCAUGAUUGUUGGCGUCCAUUAAGCCUAUACAUUUGCUCUUGACCUCGGAUCAGGUAGGGAUACCCGCUGAACUUAAGCAUAUCAAUAAGCGGAGGA